GCUUGGUCCUAGCUUUACUAACAACUACUACUCAACUUACACAUGCAAGCAUCCACACCCCAGUGAAAACACCCUCGCCCCCUCUAACAGGAAGAGGAGUUGGUAUCAGGCACAAGCAUUCAGCCCACAACACCUAGCCACGCCACGCCCCCAAGGGACUUCAGCAGUGAUAAACAUUACUUAUUAGCGCCAGCUUGAUUUAGUCAGAGUAAGCAGAGCCGGCUAAUUCGGUGCCAGCCGCCGCGGCUACCCCGUUGGCUCAAGUUGCUGUUAUCGGCGUUAAGCGUGGUUAAAGUUAUACCAAUAACAGAGUCAAACCUAAGCCAAGUUGUUAUGCGCCUGAUUACAGGAAGCCCACAAACGAAAGAUACUCUCUACCUCUUGAACCCACGACAACUGGAACACAAACUGGGAUUAGACACCCCACUAUGCCAGCCGUAAAACAUUCACCCACACCUUUAAUCGCCAGGGAAUUACGAGCCCCACUUAAAACCCAAAGGACUUGACGGUGUCCCAACCACCUAGAGGAGCCUGUUCUAUAAUCGAUACCCCACGAUACACCUCACCACCCCUAGCAUUCUCAGUCUGUAUACCUCCGUCGUAAGCUUACCUUAUGAACGCCACAGUAAGCCAAAAGAUUUACCACCAACAUGUCAGGUCAAGGUGCAACUAAUGGAGUGGAAAGCAAUGGGCUACAAUUUCUAUGAUAGAACAUACAACAACUGCAUGAAAUACAGCGCCAAGGCGGAUUUAGAAGUAAAAAGAAAAUAGAGAGUCCUUUUUAACUUGGCCCUGGGACGCGUACACACCGCCCGUCACCCUCCUCGCCCUAAGAGGAGGCAAGUCGUAACACGGUAAGCGUACUGGAAGGUGCGCUUGGAUAUAACAAAAUGUAGCUUAACUAAAGCAUCCCGCUUACACCGAGACAGAUGUCAAUAAACUUGACCAUUCUGAGCCCAAGCCCUAGCCCCACUCCACCCCAAUCUGCCACAACAAACAAACAAAACAUUUUAUCAUCUAGUAGCGGCGAUUAAAAAAUUUAUAGGAGCUAUAUAAACAGUACCGCAAGGGAAACGUGAAAUAAUAGUGAAAACCUAAAGCAAGCCACAGCAAAGAUUAACCCUUGUACCUUUUGCAUCAUGGUCUAGCUAGUCUAACCAAGCAAAACGCACUUAAAGUUUGACCCCCCGAAACUAGGCGAGCUACUCUAAAACAGCCCACAGAGCCAACCCACCCCUGUUGCAAAAGGGCGGGAAGAUUUUAAAGUAGCGGUGACACACCUACCGAGCCCAGAGAUAGCUGGUUAUUCAAAAGACGAAUCUAAGUUCAACUUUAAGCCUCACAAGUAACACCAAACGACCUACAAGCUUAAAAGCCAUUCAAAUAAGGUACAGCCUACUUGAACAAGGAGACAACCUAUAACUCAGGGUAAUGAAACCCCAACCGUGACAAAGUGGGCCUAAAAGCAGCCAACUUCCAAAAAGCGUCCAAGCCUCACCACGCCCGCCAUUAAUUCCACAAUACACUCAUAACCCCCAAUCAACACUGAAUGAUCCCAUACACUAUGGAAAACAUUAUGCUAGAACUAGUAACAAGAAGACGAACUUCUCCAAAAUGCAAACAUAAGCCAAAAUGAACCCUCACCGACAUUUACCGCUACCACAACCCGCAGUAUAAACCCGCAAGAAAAUUCUACUACACUAAGCGCUAACCUUACACCAGAGCAUUCCUGGAAAGAUUAAAAGGGGGGGAAGGAACUCGGCAAACACCAGCCCCGCCUGUUUACCAAAAACAUCGCCUCUUGCCAAACAUAAGAGGUCCAGCCUGCCCAGUGACUAAAAAGUUAAACGGCCGCGGUACCCUAACCGUGCAAAGGUAGCACAAUCACUUGUUCUAUAAAUCAGGACUAGUAUGAACGGCCCCACGAGGGCUACGCUGUCUCCCCCCCCCAAUCAGUGAAACUGAUCUCCUCGUGAAGAAGCGAGGAUAACCCCACAAGACGAGAAGACCCCAUGGAACUUUAAACUAGUGCCACUAUUUCUAACUCACACCACACCAACAAAACACAUGACCACUAGUCUUUUGGCUGGGGCGGCCACGGAGAAAAACGAAACCCCCGAGAUGAGACCCCUUAUCCCAGAACUACUAUUCCAAGAAUCAACAAAUGACAUAAUUGACCCAAUAAUUUACCCAAUAAUUGACCAACGAACCAAGCUACCCUGGGGAUAACAGCGCAAUCCAUUUCAAGAGACCCCAUCGACAAAUGGGCUUACGACCUCGAUGUUGGAUCAGGGUAUCCUGGCGGGNCAGC
rnacentral:ncRNA from 1 species